AUCUUGCAUGAAGAGAGGGUAACCUCAGCAACCUAGAAAGCAAACAAAGGUGCUAGAGAUGCGGUUUUUUAAAACAAAAAAUAUGCUACC
rnacentral:ncRNA from 1 species